rnacentral:rRNA from 1 species
UGGGCCUAGGGGCGCAGCAGUGGGGAAUAUUGCACAAUGGGCGAAAGCCUGAUGCAGCAACGCCGCGUGAAGGAAGAAGGGUUUCGGCUCGUAAACUUCUAUCAACAGGGACGAAAGAAAUGACGGUACCUGAAUAAGAAGCCCCGGCUAACUACGUGCCAGCAGCCGCGGUAAUACGUAGGGGGCAGGCGUUAUCCGGAAUUACUGGGUGUAAAGGGGGAGUAGGCGGCAUGGUAAGCCAGAUGUGAAAGCCUUGGGCUUAACCCGAGGAUUGCAUUUGGAACUAUCAAGCUAGAGUACAGGAG